rnacentral:rRNA from 1 species
UACGUAGGGUGCAAGCGUUAAUCGGAAUUACUGGGCGUAAAGCGUGCGCAGGCGGUUUUGUAAGUCUGUCGUGAAAUCCCCGGGCUCAACCUGGGAAUUGCGAUGGAGACUGCAAGGCUAGAAUCUGGCAGAGGGGGGUAGAAUUCCACGUGUAGCAGUGAAAUGACGUAGAGAUGUGGAGGAACACCGAUGGCGAAGGCAGCCCCCUGGGUCAAGAUUGACGCUCCAUGCACGAAAGCGUGGGGAGCAAACAGG